GAUGAACGCUGGCGGCGUGCCUAAUACAUGCCAGUCGAGCGAACAGACGAGGAGCUUGCUCCUCUGACGUUAGCGGCGGACGGGUGAGUAACACGUGGAUAACCUACCUAUAAGACUGGGAUAACUUCGGGAAACCGGAGCUAAUACCGGAUAAUAUAUUGAACCGCAUGGUUCAAUAGUGAAAGACGGUUUUGCUGUCACUUAUAGAUGGAUCCGCGCCGCAUUAGCUAGUUGGUAAGGUAACGGCUUACCAAGGCAACGAUGCGUAGCCGCCCUGAGAGGGUGAUCGGCCACACUGGAACUGAGACACGGUCCAGACUCCUACGGGAGGCAGCAGUAGGGAAUCUUCCGCAAUGGGCGAAAGCUUGACGGAGCAACGCCGCGUGAGUGAUGAAGGUCUUCGGAUCGUAAAACUCUGUUAUUAGGGAAGAACAAAUGUGUAAGUAACUAUGCACGUCUUGACGGUACCUAAUCAGAAAGCCACGGCUAACUACGUG
rnacentral:rRNA from 1 species